UACGACGGGGGCUAGCGUUGUUCGGAAUCACUGGGCAUAAAGCGCACGUAGGCGGAUUUGUCAGUCAGGGGUGAAAUCCCGGAGCUCAACUUCGGAACUGCCUCUGAUACAGCACGUCUUGAGUUCGAGAGAGGUGGGUGGAAUUCCUAGUGUAGAGGUGAAAUUCGUAGAUAUUAGGAAGAACACCGGUGGCGAAGGCGGCCCACUGGCUCGAUACUGACGCUGAGGUGCGAAAGCGUGGGGAGCAAUCCGG
rnacentral:rRNA from 1 species